GUCGAACGCUGGCGGCGUGCCUAAUACAUGCAAGUCGAGCGCAGGAAACUGACGGAACUCUUCGGAGGGAAGGCAGUGGAAUGAGCGGCGGACGGGUGAGUAACACGUAAGGAACCUGCCUCAAGGAUUGGGAUAACUCCGAGAAAUCGGAGCUAAUACCGGAUAGUUCAACGGACCGCAUGGUCCGCUGAUGAAAGGCGCUCCGGCGUCACCUUGAGAUGGCCUUGCGGUGCAUUAGCUAGUUGGGGGGGUAACGGCCCACCAAGGCGACGAGGCAUAGCCGACCUGAGAGGGUGAGCGGCCACACUGGGACUGAGACACGGCCCAGACUCCUACGGGAGGCAGCAGUAGGGAAUCUUCCACAAUGGACGAAAGUCUGAUGGAGCAACGCCGCGUGAGUGAUGGAGGUUUUCGGAUCGUAAAACUCUGUUGUAAGGGAAGAACACGUACGAGAGGGAAUGCUCGUACCUUGACGGUACCUUACGAGAAAGCCACGGCUAACUACGUGCCAGCAGCCGCCGUAACAC
rnacentral:rRNA from 1 species